rnacentral:rRNA from 1 species
CUCUAUGAGGUGAAAUGCUUACACUUUCAUUUAUAGACUAAAUAAUGUUUAAUAUUUAAUUUUAAAUUAUAAUAUUAAAUCUUAAUCUAACCUAUGGCAUUCAUACAUUUACUGCAAAGACUACUUGGGUAUCUAAUCCUGUUUGUGCUCUGUGCCUUCGUCCUUUAACGUCAGUUUUCACAUAGAGGGCUGCCUUCGCCUUUACCGAGUCCCUUUGGUAUCAUAGAAUUUCAUCUCUCCUCCUCAAGUACUGCCCUCUUACAUAAAACUCUAGUCAAGGACUAACAUUUUAGAAGCUAUAUUGACCGUCUAGGUACCCUUUAAACCUAAUUAAGAUGAAUAACACUAGUCUCUUACGUAUUACCGCGACUGCUGGCACGCAAUUAGUCAAGACACGAUAUAUAUMCNGUCAUUAUCAAUAUAUAAACAAAGCUUUAUUCAAUUUUAAUACAAUCCUAUAGAUCAUACUCAAAGAUAUGAUCAAAAUAGGACUU